rnacentral:rRNA from 1 species
AUCACUCGGCUCGUGGAUCGAUGAAGACCGCAGCUAAAUGCGCGUCAGAAUGUGAACUGCAGGACACAUGAACACCGAUAAGUUGAACGCAUAUGGCGCAUCGGACGUUUCAACCCGACCGAUGCACACAUCCUUGAGUGCCUACUAGGUACUUCGAUUUUCCUAUAAUUAGACUACAGACGGGCGCCACUAACGGGCUGACGGGCUAUCCGUCGUCUGGCGUGCGACUGUGCAGCAUGGCGUGCUCGGGUCUCGGCGUGGACCCUUGGGCGCUGAAAGUGGAUACUCUGUUUGAGCGGCACCUUUGCGUGUGCUCUCCUAAGUGUCGACGUAUGGUGAGGGUAGUGUCAAGCCGCACGGUGCGACAACACAAGCGUACUGUCGAGUUUGGUGCAAUCGGAUGCCUACUACCAUGGGCGGUGCCGGCGUGCAUUCAACACUCGACGUGCGUGUCCUGUAUCAACCGGAUGCCAACUGCCGUGUCAGUUGGUGGUGUCGGCGCAGACAGGACGCGCGCGUACGCUUGAGUCGUGUAACUCGUGCGACCCAUACACGUACCUGCUUGAGCUGUGCGUUGCGAGCUGGAGAGUUGCCAGACGGAGAAAUACCACAUACUCCAGUAGGCCUCAAGUGAUGUGUGACUACCCCCUAAAUUUAAGCAU